AGCGAACGCUGGCGGCAGGCCUCAUACAUGCAAGUCGAACGCCCCACUUGUGGGGAGUGGCAGACGGGUGCGUAACACGUGGGAACAUACCUUUUGGUUCGGAAUAAGCGCUGGAAACGGCGUCUAAUACCGGAUAGACCCUCCGGGGUAAAGAUUUAUCGCCAGAAGAGUGGCCCGCGGCUGAUUAGUUAGUUGGUGAGGUAACGGCUCACCAAGACGAUGAUCAGUAGCUGGUCUGAGAGGAUGAUCAGCCACACUGGGACUGAGACACGGCCCAGACUCCUACGGGAGGCAGCAGUAGGGAAUAUUGGACAAUGGGGGCAACCCUGAUCCAGCCAUGCCGCGUGAGUGAAGAAGGCCCUAGGGUUGUAAAGCUCUUUCGUCAGGGAAGAUAAUGACGGUACCUGAAAAAGAAGUCCCGGCUAACUUCG
rnacentral:rRNA from 2 species